CCAAUAGCGUAUAUUAAAGUUGUUGCAGUUAAAAAGCUCGUAGUUGGAUUUCUGUUAAUAAUUUAUAUUAUAAUACAUUAAUGUAUUUAGUAUAAUAUUAACACAAUUCAUAUUACUAUAUUUUUUAGUAUAUGAAAUUUUACUUUGAGAAAAUUAGAGUGCUUAAAGCAGGCAAUAGCCUUGUAUACUACAGCAUGGAAUAAUAAUAAAAGAUUUUUAUCUUUCUUUUUUUAUUGGUUCUAAGAUAAAAAUAAUGAUUAAUAGGGACAGUUGGGGGCAUUUGUAUUUAA
rnacentral:rRNA from 1 species